GACGAAGGAUGCAAGCGUUAUCCGGAUUCAUUGGGUUUAAAGGGAGCGUAGGUGGCCUUAUAAGUCAGUGGUGAAAUCUCUGGGCUUAACCCAGAAAUUGCCAUUGAUACUGUAGGGCUUGAGUACAGUUGCUGUGGGCGGAAUAUGACAUGUAGUGGUGAAAUACAUAGAGAUGUCAUAGAACACCGAUUGCGAGGGCAGCUCACAAAACUGUAACUGACACUGAGGCUCGAAAGUGCGGGGAUCAAACAGG
rnacentral:rRNA from 1 species